AAACCAAGCUGUAUAAAAGACUGAGCCAGGGCUCAGGAAAGGAUCUCUGUAACCAUACUGCAUUGUACCUGGAACUUAAGGCAAGAAAUAAUAAUAGUAAAGAUACUUGGCAAAGGGAAAUACACUGACUGUGAUGAAGCAGAGAAGCUGCCUGCCAGCACGGUAGGGGUUAAGGAGAGCCUUUGGGCCCAGCUAGCCCUGCCCAUCAUACCUGCAGCCAAUGCCAGGCCUGGAGCGGGGAGAAAAGGAGAGAGCCAGUUCAAGGCUAACUGGUGAAGAGGCAGGAGCUAGCUACGGUGCUACUUGAAAGAAGGACCACUAGCCUGCUAGACAAGACAGCCACCAGGGAGCUCGUUCUGUCUCUCAGCCAAGGGAGACUGUGGAGGAGACCUCAGAACUUCCAGAAAUUGAGAACAGGCACAUCAUGAACAACAGUGCUACAAGCUUCCUGUAUAUCAUCCCAGUGAUGUACCUCGAACCUUACCAGGAGAGAGAUGAGAAGGUACAAUCAUCCAGACUAUUUAGUCCUAGCUUAUCUGCUGAGACUGCUAACAAGAUGAUGGCUCUAAGGUUGGUUUUUUUUAUCAUGUAGACAGACACCUGUCUCCUGGGAUGUACACUACUGAGAGUAAAGGACAAUUUUUUUCCCCUAAACUACAAUUGUGAAAGAUGCAUGUAUAGCAGAAUAAAACCUGUAUGUUUUCCCCAAA